AAUGAACGUUGGCGGCAUGGAUUAGGCAUGCAAGUCGCGCGCGAAACGUAGCAAUACGUGGAGAGCGGCGAAAGGGAGAGGAAUACGUGGGAACCUACCUCGGGGCCUGGAAUAGCGGCGGGAAACUGCCGGUAAUGCCAGAUAACGUCUCCGGACCAAAGGUGUGAUUCCGCCUGGAGAUGGGCCCACGUCCUAUCAGCUUGUUGGUGUGGUAAUGGCGCACCAAGGCUAAGACGGAUAUGGGGUGUGAGAGCAUGCCCCCACUCACUGGGACUGAGACACUGCCCAGACACCUACGGGUGGCUGCAGUCGAGAAUCUUCGGCAAUGAGCGCAAGCUUGACCGAGCGAUGCCGCGUGCGGGAUGAAGGCCCUCGGGUUGUAAACCGCUGUCGUAGAGGAGUAAUGGUCAGGGGGUUCUCCCUCUGAUUUGAACAAUUCUAGGAGGAAGGACGGGCUAAGUUCGUGCCAGCCGCCGCCGUAAUAC
rnacentral:rRNA from 1 species